ACGUCAAUUUAUAUGAAAUCUACUGUAGUAUCUGCUUCUUAUCAGCUUAAUAUCUGAUACGGGUCCUAUUUGGACCCAAGAUAUUAAACUUAUUUUUCGAAUGGGGCGGAUCUACUAAAAACGACAGCAGGAAGGUUCGUACACACGCUAGCCUUUCAAAUGAUUUCGAGAAGUGCGGAUACUCU